UCCAGUCUAAAAACAUAAUUUUACGUAGAUAUAACAAUAUAUUUUAUGAAUAUUCCGUGUCAAUGAUAUCAUAAAUCAUUGCUGAUUGAAAUUUUCAAAAUACCUUUGCAGCAGUAUUUAUGACGCGUUGCCAACAUUUUGAUGCAAUGUCCAAAGAGUCAUCCUCUGCUGAGUACGAAUCAUCUUCCAUCUUGUAUUGUAAAAUUACCUUUUAUAUUAGCGUUAUAUUUCAAUAUAUAUCAUCGAUAAAAGAUAAAUCAAACGAAAUGAUCUCUCACAUAUGCGAAACGUAUCAUAUCAUGACUAUAGAAGUCUGUUGACUGCACCUAACCUCGAACAGUACUAAAGUACUGUAGUCAUACCGCCAUUGAUUGUUAAAACACCGUGAUAUAUAUCUCUCUCUAUAUAUACAGUGUUUCAGAAAUAGGAAUGAAUUGGGAUGCUUAUAACACUCCUUUAAUCGAAAAUGAUGGCAACCAGGAAGAGGAGUUACCACUUAAUUGAUCAUACUUUGACUUAUUUAUAAGAAUACUGGUCAUAAUCUUAUCAACAUCAUGUGUUUGUCCAUAAUAAUCAACAAACAAACCUUCUGGAUCGACUAAGUAUAUGAUAAUUGUGUGAUCCACCUGAAAAGAAAAAAUAAUGUACAGUCAAGUGUAUAAAUAGCAAAUAAAUUAUGCUUCAAGAAGUA